AACGAACGCUGGCGGCAUGCCUAACACAUGCAAGUCGAACGAGACCUUCGGGUCUUGUGGCGCACGGGUGCGUAACGCGUGGGAACCUGCCCUUAGGUUCGGAAUAACUCCCCGAAAGGGGUGCUAAUACCGCAUAAUGUCUUCGGACCAAAGAUUUAUCGCCUCUGGAUGGGCCCGCGUUGGAUUAGCUAGUUGGUAGGGUAAAAGCCUACCAAGGCGACGAUCCAUAGCUGGUCUGAGAGGAUGAUCAGCCACACUGGGACUGAGACACGGCCCAGACUCCUACGGGAGGCAGCAGUGGGGAAUAUUGGACAAUGGGCGAAAGCCUGAUCCAGCAAUGCCGCGUGAGUGAUGAAGGCCUUAGGGUUGUAAAGCUCUUUUACCCGGGAUGAUAAUGACAGUACCGGGAGAAUAAGCGCCGGCUAACUCCGUG
rnacentral:rRNA from 1 species